UCUUUCCAUCCGAGCGCGAGGGAGACGCCGGGGCCACCCACCCGCAGCACGCAGAGCUUCUGGGAGCCGGUGGCAAGGCCGAAAUGGGAUGCAAACCAAAUGCACGUGGGUGACUGGCAGAAAAAGCCUCCCACAAAUGGGAGGGAUUUCGGAAGGAACCGAAAGAAAGUUGGAAACCAAGUUACAGCUGAAGCCGGGGCCUUCUCCUACCCGACUCUCAUGGCCCAUUAAAACCUACGUGAGCUUAUCUGACACCUUCAAGCCCUGUUUGGUGGCCCCAUCUCCUCUUCAGAUGGCAAUGUGCCUAGCUACACUACAUUUCCAGCCUCCCUUGCAGCUAGAGGUGGCCAAUGAGAUAUAAACAGAUGCUGUCAGACAUGAUGUCUAGAUCCCUAGCAGUCAUCCCAGACCAUGAGAUAACUUUGAGAAGGAACACCAUGUACAAAGGACUGUGCAGAAGAGGGUUGGCAGGAGCCUGGAUCUCUGAUGACUUCACCCUUGACUGCCCACCUCACCAGGCUGUACAAGCCACUGUUACUGGCAGAUGAAUGCAAGUUCUAAAACAUACAACCACUGACCUACUGAAUUUUCCAAGGAGCACAUUUCCACUGGAGACAUUUGGUGCCUGCAGAAAAUACUUACUGAGGAAUUUCUAUGGGACCAGCCUGAAGUAGAAGCCACUGAAGAGAGGCCCUGAAGCAGCUUUUCUUCCUUAUCCCAGAGACCAACAUGGUUACCCCAGCCCAGAGUCACCCUCCUUCCUCUAAGCUGUCAAAACCCUGGCUGCCUUUACAAUGAUUCUGACAAUGAAUCCCACCCUGCUGGUGAUG
rnacentral:lncRNA from 1 species